CAGCCGUAAACUAUGCUCGCUAGGUGUCAGGGACGGUGCGACCGUUUCUGGUGCCGCAGGGAAGCCGUGAAGCGAGCCACCUGGGAAGUACGGCCGCAAGGCUGAAACUUAAAGGAAUUGGCGGGGGAGCACAACAACGGGUGGAGCUUGCGGUUUAAUUGGAUUCAACGCCGGAAAUCUUACCGGGACCGACAGCAACAUGAAGGCCAAGCUGAAGACUUUGCCGGAUUAGCUGAGAGGUGGUGCAUGGCGUAGUCGUGU
rnacentral:rRNA from 1 species